UGUUAUUACGACGAUUGGUGA
rnacentral:piRNA from 1 species